rnacentral:rRNA from 1 species
GACGAACGCUGGCGACGUGCUUAACACAUGCAAGUCGAACGAAGUGGCGAACGGGUGAGUAACGCGUACUCAACCUGCCCUUCAGAGGGGGACAACAGUUGGAAACGACUGCUAAUCCCGCAACCUGAAGGAGGGGAUUGCGUUUGAUUUGCUAGUUGGUGGGGGAACGGCCCACCAAGGCGAUGACAAUUAGCCGGUCUGAGGGGGUGAACGGCCAAAUUGGGACUGAGACACGGCCCAGACUCCUACGGGAGGCAGCAGUGGGGAAUCUUCCGCAAUGGACGAAAGUCUGACGGAGCAAAGCCGCGUGAGUGAUGACGGCCUUCGGGUUGUAAAGCUCUGUUAAUCGGGACGCGGUACCGGAAUAGAAAGCCACGGCUAACUACGUGCCAGCAGCCGCGGUAAUAC